GCGAAAGUGGCGGAACUGGCAGACGCACCAGACUUAGGAUCUGGUGGCCGUGAGGCCGUGGGAGUUCGAGUCUCCCCUUUCGCA
rfam:Acidobacteria bacterium RIFCSPLOWO2_02_FTLL_68_18 rifcsplowo2_02_scaffold_222, whole genome shotgun sequence.